GAUGAACGCUGGCGGCGUGCCUAAUACAUGCAAGUCGAGCGAACGGACGAGAAGCUUGCUUCUCUGAUGUUAGCGGCGGACGGGUGAGUAACACGUGGAUAACCUACCUAUAAGACUGGGAUAACUUCGGGAAACCGGAGCUAAUACCGGAUAAUAUUUUGAACCGCAUGGUUCAAAAGUGAAAGACGGUCUUGCUGGCACUUAUAGAUGGAUCCGCGCUGCAUUAGCUAGUUGGUAAGGUAACGGCUUACCAAGGCAACGAUGCAUAGCCGACCUGAGAGGGUGAUCGGCCACACUGGACCUGAGACACGGUCCAGGCUCCUACGGGAGGCAGCAGUAGGGAAUCUUCCGCAAUGGGCGAAAGCCUGACGGAGCAACGCCGCGUGAGUGAUGAAGGUCUUCGGAUCGUAAAACUCUGUUAUUAGGGAAGAACAUAUGUGUAAGUAACUGUGCACAUCUUGACGGUACCUAAUCAGAAAGCCACGGCUAACUACGUG
rnacentral:rRNA from 1 species